ACUCUAGUGGCAGAUAAGUGCAUCGGAUUUAGAAUUCGAACAUGUGUUACACUUCUAACACUUAGAGUA
rnacentral:tRNA from 2 species